rnacentral:rRNA from 1 species
AUAUUGGACAAUGGGGGGAACCCUGAUCCAGCCAUGCCGCGUGAGCGAAGAAGGUCUUCGGAUCGUAAAGCUCUGUCAAACAGGAAGAAGAGCCAUGAGAGGGAAUGCUCAUGGAGUGACGGUACUGUAAGAGGAAGCCCCGGCUAACUACGUGCCAGCAGCCGCGGUAAUACGUAGGGGGCAAGCGUUGGCCGGAAUUAUUGGGCGUAAAGCGCGCGCAGGCGGUCUAGAAAGUCGGAUGUGAAAUCUCGGGGCUCACCCCCGAGCGUGCAUACGAAACUUCCAGACUUGAGAGCAAGAGAGGGGAGUGGAAUUCCUAGUGUAGCGGUGAAAUGCGUAGAUAUUAGGAGGAACACCAGUGGCGAAGGCGACUCCCUGGCUUGCAACUGACGCUGAGGCGCGAAAGCGUGGGUAGCGAACAGG